UGAACCCUGCUGGGCCGAAGUCUAACGCACCGCGUCAGAUACAUUGUAGGCUAGGUGGGGUUCU
rnacentral:ncRNA from 1 species